UUUUUUGCAAAGGAAUUGAUUUUUUUCUUAAAGAGUAUUCAGUUGCAAUUUUAGGAAAGCAAAUUUCAAUACUUUGUGUAAUGGGGAAUAAAAGAAAUAGAGCAAAAAAGUAUGAUCUUUUAAGGGAUGAUUCAAAGAAUGGUCAUACAAAACGCAAUCAAGAGCAACCUAUUGAUGUUGAGGAAGAUCCCGUUGAUGUUGAAGAUGAUGUAAUUGAAGUAGCGGAAGAAAUUAGUACUAGUCAAGGUACAAAUUUUUCAAUUGUCAUGAGAAAUUUGAUGGAGAUGAAUGAGGAUUCUCUUUUCAGUCAAAUUUCAUUUGAACACAUGGUACUUGAGAGCACAAUUAAAUUGCAUUGCAAAAACGUGUGGGAGGAAUAUUUUGAAAAAAAAUCUAUGGUUAGGAGAGCACAAUUAUUUGUAAAGUUAUUCAGAAAAAGAGAAAUGACUCCUGUUUUGGAGUUGUUGGGUCUCGAUAAUAGCAAAAGCUCAGGAGGUCAUUUUAAAAGAAACAAUAGUUGAAAAUUUGCAAAUGCAAUGAACCUUGUUGACACCACAAGUCGAGGAGCUGAUUCAAGUGCUGCACGUAGAGCGUUGAUGACUACGAUUUCUAGUAGUAGGUUGUCACAUAAAAGACAAGUUACAACAAUUUUUGAAUUACUACAUAUAUCUAGAAAAACUGUUCAAAGAUAUAUUAGGAGGAGAAAUAUGUUAGAUGAAAACAUUGAAAUGAAUUGGGUAAAUAUUUGUAGACUUCCUCAAAAGGCAUAAUUUUUUUGAAGAUGUAAGAAGACUGAUCAUCGAAUAUUGGACCAGCCACUCCCGUGUUUCUUCCAAUAGAAGGGACACUAUACGGAUGAAAGAUGAAGAGACUCGUAUGAAGAUUUCACAUCCUAAACAUUUUGUAGAUACAACACAAAGUGAACUAUUUGAAGCAUUCAAGGAAGAAUUUUCAGAUGUGAAAAUAUGUUAGAGAAUAUUUGAGAGGUUGCGCCCUUGCUUUGUACACAUAAAUAAAGUACGCGAAACUUCUUGUUGUCGAAAUCAUGUUGAGUUUCAUCUAUACUUAGAGUCAUAUAAAAAAGCUAUGGCAGUACUUGGUCAUCCCUGGAAGUACGACACAAUUUGUGAAAUUAAUUUUAUGUGAUAAAUUAGAAGAUUUAAAUGACUUCAAUGUACAGUGUAUAAAAAGUACAUGUAUUGAUUGUGGAGAUUUGCAAAAAUUUCCGUUACAAAUUGAGAGUAUUGUUGUUUCAAUGCCAAUUUUGUGGAAGAGAUUUCAAUACGAGACAUCGAACUAAGUCAGGAGAUGAAUCCAAAAAAAUUGCAUUGAAGGAGAGUGAAUUGCCCUACCUUGAAUUUAUGAACAGAUUUUGUACUAUGAUUUAUCACAUAUCCAACAUUGUCAUGGUGCACGAUCGCAAGAUAAACAAUUUCGUGAUUGCAAAAAUUGUUUUCCACUUGGUUGUAUUCUUUCAAUUGUAGAUUUCUCCGAGAACUAUACAUUUGCCUCUCAAUCGCAGAUUCAAGCUCAAUAUUAUCAUUCUGAUCAAGUUGCAAUAUUUGUGCAAGUGACCUAUAAACAUGUGCAAUUUGAUGUAAAUGGGGUAGAAAAAUGUACUAAUCCAAAUGAACGCAUUAUCAUCAAGGAGGUUCAUUUCUAUAUCAACGAUGAUAAAGUUCAUGAUAGGAGCUAUGUAGCUCAUUGUUUUGCACUGUUUUUUUGAAGAUCUUGCAAAUCGCGGGAUAAAUGUUUCACAACACUAGAUUUGGUCGGAUGGUUGUGCAGGUGAGUACAUAAGUUUCAAUUCAUUUUCAUUUAUAUGUAAAUUUGUAUUUGAUUUCAAUUUGAUAAAUUUUAUUUUAAAUGUUCAAUUGUACAUGUACAUGACAUACAACUUUAUGGAGCAGGAUAAUUUAAAUUUGCAAAAGCCUUUAAUUGGCUAUCCAUGCAACAUGCUAGACACAAUGUUAAGUUUCUGUGGAACUUCUUUGAAAGUGGGCAUGGAAAAGGAGAGCACGAUGGAGCAGGAGCAUGUGUGAAGCGUGCACUUCGCCAACAUGAACUUGCAGGUAAUAGCAUAGAGAAUGCAAACAAUAUUGUUGAAUGACGUCAAAGUCAUUUUGCUUGUCAGAACACGCCAUACAACAAACAUUAUUUUUGGGAAGUGAAACGUAAAAUAUUUUUGUUCUCAAGAAUUCUUAAAAAAAUUCAUCAGCUCUGCAUUUCACUUUUAUCCUAAAGUAGUUGAUCUUAAAAUGUGCAAAUUUCAUUUCAUAUUUGUAAUAGGUAUUGAUCGAUCUAACCCUUACAAUUGUCAAACAAUUGUUGGUAUUAGAAUUUUACAUCAAGUGAUGACUACAGGACACCACAAGCCUCCAUUGAUUCAAGUAAGAGAAAAAUCAUGCUUUUGUGUUGACUGUGUUGAGCACUAUCCAAUGAGUCAAUGCGAGAAUAUUGCAAAUGGAUAUGUCUCACAGUGGGAUAUGAAAGAGUUAAUCAAAAUGCCUCCUUAUGAAGAUGAUGAAAAUGACAUAGACAUUCAUGAUCCUAUAUAUUCAACUGAUUAUGAACGUGUUUCUGAUUUAGUCGUUUCAGGUGAUAUUUUUGCUAUGGUUGUGGAUCCUGACAAUGUGGAAGGUGUAGAUUAUUAUCUACUAAGAUGCACGAAAGCAAAAUUCAAAUUGCCUAAAGUAACUAUAGACAGUGAUGAACAAUCAUAUCCAACUGGUUCAGUUCUUAUAGAAGGAACCUAUUAUUAACAAACUAAGAUAGACAAAAAUCGUAUUCAAUUUAUUGAAUACAUGCCUAGAAAAACAGUUGUACAUUACAAUCACUUGGUUAUAGCGACAAAGCUGCAAUUUGAGACAUUGCCAAAAAAAGGACGUGGCAACCAAAAGUGGAUGUUACCUUUUGAAAAGCAUGGAAUUUUUUUGGAGAUAAUAAAAGAUAGAGAGGAUCUAGACUAUACGUAUCGGGAGCUAACUUAGGCUAUCUAACUUGUUUUUGUAGCUCAUACUUUUAUAUUUGAACUAGAGUUUGAACUCAUGUUUAAUUUGAACU